rnacentral:rRNA from 1 species
AACGAACGCUGGCGGCAUGCCUAACACAUGCAAGUCGAACGAGACCUUCGGGUCUAGUGGCGCACGGGUGCGUAACGCGUGGGAACCUGCCCUUAGGUUCGGAAUAACUCCCCGAAAGGGGUGCUAAUACCGGAUAAUGUCUUCGGACCAAAGAUUUAUCGCCUUUGGAUGGGCCCGCGUUGGAUUAGCUAGUUGGUAGGGUAAAAGCCUACCAAGGCGACGAUCCAUAGCUGGUCUGAGAGGAUGAUCCGCCACACUGGGACUGAGACACGGCCCAGACUCCUACGGGAGGCAGCAGUAUGUAAUACUGGACAAUGGGCGAAAGCCUGAUCAAGCAAUGCCGGGUGAGUGAGGAAGGGCUUAGGGUUGUAAAGCUCUUUUACCCGGGAUGAUAAUGACAGUACCGGGAGAAUAAGCACCGGCUAACUCCGUG